UUUUUUUUUUUUUUUGGUCUAUUCUAGGGUUGCUCCUGUGGCAUAGAGAGGUUCCCAGACUAGGGAAAAGGCAAAAAGACAAAAAAAUAAAAUAAAGUUGUAUUCUUUGUGCAGUCUGGUUUCAUAUUUGGGUUAACUGUGGUUCUGUGAAGAAAACAUUCUAUUUCUCAUACUCUGAGGAUGGAGGCUGACAUCCCAGAAACUCAGUGUAAGCCUCCAUCUCUUCCCUGGAAUAACUGGCCAGGGAAGAGGAAAAAGCAGUGCCAACAAAAUGCAAGCAGGUCUGAGAUUGGAGCCAACCGGACACGCCGUUGGGAGUGAGACCACGCCCACAGGCCCGGCAGGCAGACGCAGCAGCACUGGGCAAACCUUGGGCAUCGUUUCCUGGGGUCCUUUUCCUGGGCAGAAUCUGUCUUUGGGCCCUAUCUCUGGAAGGCAAAGAAGGCCCUGACUAUGAUAUACGACAAAAAAGCCAAGGGUCACCAGCUGGUUUUAACAAAGAUUUGCACAGGAAAAGGAACAGAUUUCCACAGCGUUCAGAGCAUCACCGAUUCCAUAGGCGACAGGGAACACUCCUGAAUACAGCGUGUGAUAAAUAACGCCUGAGCCCACAGAGAAUCCGGAGCCAACCUGGGUGAAGCCACGCGGCCAGGCACCUUGAGGACAGGACCUGCCCCCAAAAGGCUGGCCUCACAGACCUGUGGGUGUUUGUGUCUGCUGUCCCUUGAGAAGACUCUCCUGACGUCUAAGUACCAAACAACACCGAGACUUUCAACCAAGGCACGUGAUUGUCAGAGAGUCUGAGGCCAAGGAGUGGCCACUGAUGUCAGGGAAGUAAAUCCUGGUUUGGAUCUGCCUGCUCUGGAGCGAGGGCCUCAGUCAGGGCCAAUUCCAGGAAACUGCAGUCAGCAGAGGUCAUUUUUUCAAGUCUAUUUUGUCUCCUUUUUACCAGUAAAUGUUAGAAGGGCCCUGAUCACACAGUGAGGCCUCUAGGAAUGAAUGAAUAAAUUAAUGAUUACAAGAACACCGUGGAGAGAUGAUAAAUGGAAACAAGAAUGCAUUAAAAAGACAUCAAAGGACAGCUGUGAUGAACCGAAGUUGCCGAUAUAAAAACGAUUAAAAUUAAUUAGGGGUCAACUGUUCGUUAGAGGAAGAACACAAUGACGGAGGAACUAAAGGUUCUGAAAGGCAAAAUCAGGCAAAAAGCGACCCUAGGACAUCUCAAUUGAGAUGAGAAAAAAAUAGGAGUUCCCAUCAUGGCUCAGUGGUUAACGAACGUGACUAGUAUCCAUAAGGACACAGGUUGAAUCCCCGGCCUCGCUCAGUGGGUUAAGGAUCUGGCGUGGCUGUGAGCUGUGGAGUCGGCCAGCAGCUAUAGCUCCGAUUCGACCCAAAAAAGAGAGAGAAAAAAAACAACAGAGCCUUGAGCAAGGAGAACAAAACAGGCUCCCUCCUUCAGCCCAGAAAGGGCUCGAAUCAGGAGGCAUCCCUCUGCCUUCUAGCAAGAAGCUAAUUGAUCAUUUCUAAAAAGCACUCAUCCAACAAAUGAUGGUUCAAGAAGAGUGUUGAGGAGUUCCCACUGUGGCUCAGUGGGUUCAGAACCUGACUAGUAUCCAUGAGGACGCAGGUUUGAUUCCUGGCCUCACUCAGUUGGUCCCGGAUCCGGUGUUGCUGCGGCUGUUGGUGUAGGUCAUGGAUGCUACACGGAUCUGGCGUUGCUGUGGCUGUGGUGCAGGCCAGCAGCUGAAGCUUCGAUUUGACCCCUAGCCCAGAGUGUCCAUAUGCCCCGGCGGUAGCCCUAAGAAGACCGAGGGGCAGGGGUGGAAAGAAGAGUGUUGAGCUGAAGUAUCAGCUAAAAGAUUAAGAGACGCAAUUUCAGUCCUGGAAGGAACAGGGCUGGGGUUGAGAGGAGACCAGGGCCAGGUCUCUUAACCAUGGGCAUGUAUCACAGCCAUCAUCUCAUUUGGAAAAAGCCCCUCAGGCCGUC
ensembl:lncRNA